UACAGAGGUCACAAGCGUUGUUCGGAUUCACUGGGCGUAAAGGGUGCGUAGGCGGUCGGGUAAGUCUGAUGUGAAAUCUCACAGCUUAACUGUGAAACUGCAUUGGAUACUAUUCGGCUUGAGAGUUGGAGGGGGGACUGGAAUUCUUGGUGUAGCAGUGAAAUGCGUAGAUAUCAAGAGGAACACCAGUGGCGAAGGCGAGUCCCUGGACAACUUCUGACGCUGAGGCACGAAAGCUAGGGGAGCAAACAGG
rnacentral:rRNA from 1 species